GACGAACGCUGGCGGCGUGCUUAACACAUGCAAGUCGAACGAAGUGGCGAACGGGUGAGUAACGCGUAAUCAACCUGCCCUUCAGAGGGGGACAACAGUUGGAAACGACUGCUAAUACCGCAUACUGAGGGAGGGCACGGCGUCUGAUUAGCGGGUUGGAGGGGUAACGGCCCACCAAGGCGAGGAUCAGUAGCCGGUCUGAGAGGGUGAAGCGCAAACAUGGGACGGGAAAACGGCCCAGACUCCUACGGGAGGCAGCAGUUGGGAAUCUUCCGCAAUGGACGAAAGUCUGACGGAGCAACGCCGCGGGGGGGAUGACGGCCUUCGGGUUGUAAAGCUCUGUUAAUCGGGACGCGGUACCGGAAUAGAAAGCCACGGCUAACUACGUGCCAGCAGCCGCGGUAAUAC
rnacentral:rRNA from 1 species